UACAGAGGGUGCAAGCGUUGUUCGGAAUCAUUGGGCGUAAAGCGCACGUAGGCGGCUUGUUAAGUCGGAUGUGAAAGCCCCAGGCUCAACCUGGGAAGUGCAUUCGAAACUGGCGAGCUUGAAUGUCGGAGAGGGCAGUGGAAUUCCGAGUGUAGAGGUGAAAUUCGUAGAUAUUCGGAGGAACACCAGUGGCGAAGGCGACUGCCUGGACGAACAUUGACGCUGAGGUGCGAAAGCGUGGGGAGCAAACAGG
rnacentral:rRNA from 1 species